rfam:TPA: Bos taurus chromosome 3, whole genome shotgun sequence.
GUGGCUCAGAUGGUAAAGAACCUGCCUGCAAUGCAGGAGACCCAGGUUCAAUCCCUGGGUCACG